CGGCCGCGUCGACGAAAGCGAGUUUGUACAAGAGCGCCAGUGUGAAAGACACAGGUCACUGUUUGUAGACGCGAAACCAAGGUGAUCUACCCAUGACCAGGCUGAAGUUACAGGUAACACUGAAUGGAGGGCCGAACCGAACUUACGUAAAAGUAGUACCGGAUGAGUUGUGGGUAGGGGUGGAAAUUACCAAUCGAACCUGGAUAUAGNUCGUUCUCUCCGAAAUAUAUUUAGGUAUAGCCGUCAUAUUAGCAUCGUGGAGGGUAGAGCACUGUUUGGUAGUGAGGGGCCCGACUCCCCGGGGUUACCGAGUUCAGACAAACUCCGAAUGCCACAGAUGUGAUGUAUGGGAGUCAGACAGUGGGUGAAUAAGGUCCAUUGUCGAGAGGGAAACAGCCCAGACCACGUCGACGCGGCC
rnacentral:rRNA from 1 species